AUUAUGCUGACGAGUCUCAAAUAGGACGAAACGCGCGUCCUGGAU
rnacentral:hammerhead_ribozyme from 1 species